UNUGGUCUGUCACUGACGCUGAGGCUCGAAAGCGUGGGUAGCGAACAGGAUUAGAUACCCUGGUAGUNCACGCCGUAAACGCUGAGUGCUAGGUGUUAGGUCCUUUCCGGGACUUAGUGCCGACGCUAACGCAUUAAGCACUCCGCCUGGGGAGUACGACCGCAAGGUUGAAACUCAAAGGAAUUGACGGGGGCCCGCACAAGCGGUGGAGCAUGUGGUUUAAUUCGAAGCAACGCGAAGAACCUUACCAGGUCUUGACAUCCCGAUGCCCGCUCUAGAGAUAGAGUUUUACUUUUUGUACAUCGGAGACAGGUGGUGCAUGGUUGUCGUCAGCUCGUGUCGUGAGAUGUUGGGUUAANNNNNNCAACGAGCGCAACCCUUAUUGUUAGUUGCCAUCAUUAAGUUGGGCACUCUAGCGAGACUGCCGGUAAUAAACCGGAGGAAGGUGGGGAUGAUGUCAAAUCAUCAUGCCCCUUAUGACCUGGGCUACACACGUGCUACAAUGGUUGGCACAACGAGUCGCAAGCCGGUGACGGCAAGCUAAUCUCUGAAAGCCAAUCUCAGUUCGGAUUGUAGG
rnacentral:rRNA from 1 species